ensembl:lncRNA
CUUUACCACCAGACCAUGAGGAAAGUCCUAAAUAUAUUCAUGUAUACAAAAUCUCAUGAUUUAACAGAAGGAUUGGGUCCAAUAUCUGAAGCGUUCUGCUUUAGAGUUUUCUAAAUUUUAGUUAUCCUUCAGAUUUUAACUACAGUCAUGAGCCACCUAUACUAUGACUUAUAUAAUGAUAUUUUCUUUAAGUCGAGUAACGCAUUUAUAUGUUGCUAUUGCUCCUCACAACCUCAGGUAUUUAUUCAUUGUGGAAGCUCAGAUGAUGGACCCAGAUGUAACCUCAGGAUCCUCUUUAUUACAGCGUCUCAAGGACCCCUCUUUCCAAGUUCCCUUCUCAAUACAGCCAAGAGGCUAGAUCUCAUCAAUAAAAUAGUUGUUAUAAAAAGGGCAGAAGACUUGAAGGCAAAAUACGCCACCAACACAAGAAGGUUCAUGUUUGUAUUUAAAUGUUCGUCACCUGCUGUUGAGACAUCGCUGACCUUGAAAUGCUACCAAAUCAUGUCAGCGUUCCGUCUGAUUCUCGGGAGGACAGCAGUCAAAGCAUGAACACUCUAUUAUUAAUAAAAGGGAGAGACUGACAGGUCA